GGCCGGGCCGCGGCGGCGUGCGGUGAGUGUGGGAGCUGUGGCUGUGCUGGCGAGCCGCGCGUCGGCCUGCGGGCGGUCUCUCCAGUAUCAUUGGCCAGGAAGGCCAAUGAAAUCCUGGGAUGCAUCAAGUGUGGCCAGCAGGUCAAGGGAGGUUCUUCUUCCCCUCUACUCUGCCCUGGCCUUUGUAUCAAUCCUUUCAAGAGUUUACUUCUCUGCAGACUUUUAAGAACUUCAGAAGAAAGGGCUACAGGUAGUAGCUGGUGCUUGGCUUGACAUCAGUAUAAAGAUUGCUAUCAAGAACAGCAUCUAUCAACAAGAUCAUUAAAAAUCUCAUUUAAAAUACAGUUGGUACUGCAGUAUAUUGGAUCACUAAAUGCAUUCAACCCUCUGUGCUCAAAAAAGGCAAUGCACUUUAGGAAACAACCUGGAUUCUCUUUUGUUACCCGAUUAUAUUUGCAGAAACCAUUUUGAAGAAGAUAUAUUUUAUCUUAUUGGCUACUCCUUCUUUUCAUAUAUUCUCCUGUUCUUUAGUUCAUAAGAUGGUUUUCUAUAAGUGUUCACUGCUUUGAACUAGAGCACCAUAUUUGGCUUUUCAGACACUGUUUCCCAAUCUGUAAUGUUUUUAAAAACAAAAGCCAAACUCCAUAGCACUCCUUUCUUACUAGAAGCAGACCUUUACCUGGGUAUCUAAUGUAUCUUUAAUGCAAAUUAAUAUUUCCUGUAAUUCAUAAAUAUCCAGCAACUUUCUGUAACUUAUUUUCUGUUGUUCUAUCCUCUUUCCUAUAUGUUCGUGCUGUUCACAUAUUUUUGACCUCAAAAUGCAGACUAAAUUCUAAAUAAAAUCCCUGUACCUUUCAACAGGGAAAACAAAGUCCUUAAUAGUGACUUAAUUUUACCCAUUUACAUUAGGGAAAAAUUGUCAAGGCAAGGGUUACCACUAUAUCUAACCAAAAUGAAAGCUGGAUAGUGGUUAUGCUCUAACAUGCAAGAAUGACUUUCCAGCAUGACAUCGUUUCCUCUCAAAGCAUUUACUUGAUGACACUAGGUGUGACACCCAGACCAUAAAAGCAAAGCCAUGUUAAUACACAAAUGUUUCAAGAGCAGGAAACAAGCUAACUAGAAACAAAGAUCUGAAGGCCCAAAAGGAACACAGGCUUCCUAAGAAUUUUAAAUUAAUGGGAAAAUAGUAAUUGGAGCAUGUUGAUAGCUGGGAAAACAGCUGGACAGAUGAAAAAAAGAAGUCUGAAACAGCAUCUGCAGAUGCUGAAUAUCAGUAUAAGCUUGUAACAAUUCCUACUUAUAGUGUGAGCUGUCAUUUCGCCAAGUAAAUGACAAGUAAUAAACAUUGAUAAAUGGAGUAUGGAAAUCCUAAAAUAGAGUUUGCAUUGCUCUUGGCUUCAUCUGCUAAUAAAUUGAAUUUUUUGUUAAAUUCCAAGCUCAAUACUAUCAAUUCCUAUUUUCAGCAUGACAUAUUAUUUCAUAUGUGAAGAUGACAGCUGAUUGUUUUUCAUGAUUACAUACACUGAAAAAAUGCUGGUUUGGUUUAUGGUUAAGUAUUGAAGUAUAUUAAAUCUUACCAUCUGUUUUUCAACUUUAACUAGCUUGUAUUGGAAGGAGAAAGGUUACCAGCAGGUACCAUAUAGUUAAAGUGAUAGUCAUAGUACAUCAUAUAAAUAAGUGAAUGCAGGCACAGAAGGCUUUGGUGCAACUGAAAGAGGAUGUUGUGCAUUGAAAUACCAUCCUACAUAAAUGACUUUUGAAUAUAUAUAUACAUAGAUUUUUUUUUUUGUAAUCGAUAAGUUAUAUAGCCUUGGAACAGCAAGUCUAUGCUGUGGUUUUCUUACCAGUGCUCACUCACCAAUUGGAAGUAUAAUACACAAACUGGUGUGGAGUAAGGUGGGUGUGGUUUUGAGCACUGUGGAACACUGUAACACAGCACAGAAAUUAUAAUAUCCAAUGAAGCCUCACUUUUUUUUUUUUUUCCUCUUGCCCAUAUUGAUUCAGACUCUAUGGGCUGUUCUUCACACAGUUGCCAAGAAGAUUAUUAGGUCUGUUUCCUCUUCUCUCCCAUGGAUUCUCCUGUUGGACCCAUUUAUAGAUGCUCCUUUUGAUACAAGACCUAAAGCUGUGCAUAUAACAGUAGAUCUCAAUGUGUGACUCCACUCACCCUUCAUUCAAAGGUGGUGAAGGUAGUUCAAAGAACCAGUUUGAUAUUAACAGUAUUCCUGGGUAGGGUGGUGUGAGCAUGCCAAGAUGAGGAAAGAAUGAAAGUCUGUUUCAGAGUUUUUGGAGCAUGUAUAGAUUAAAUAAUGACUAGAGGGAAAUACUAAGCCUACUGAGUGAAAACUCUCACUUUACAGAUCUGAGUCAUUGCAAAUGUAGUUAUGAUAUGUUCUUCAUUUGCUAGUCCAUCAUUUCUUAUAUUCAUUUUAAAAAAAGAGGUAACUGUAAGAUGACUAGAACACUGGAACCAGGUAGUUUGGGAGGUGAGAGACCUUCUUCACUGGUCAUUUUAAAUGUGAUCAUGUUCACUACAAGUGAAUGAACACGAAAUUUUUGCUUACCUGACACUCCUAAAAGUUGAUGAAAUCCAAAAGACUUGAUGUGGUUGGGCAGCGCAUUUUUCUGUACUCUUUGCUCAAUAUAACCUAGUGGGAUGGUUACUUUCCUCUCAUCUCUAUCCCUGUUUUCCUCUUGAACACAUGCUCUUUGAGCUUCUCCAAACCUGUCUCCAUUUUGCAUGUAUCUUAGAGCAGGAGCUAGGAAAUUAUGCGAAAGUUGCUUUCUGUUUUGCUGCUGCCUAGCUUUACCCUGACAAAGGUGGGAAAUGGGAAAUGUGAAAUGGGAAAUGGAAGGGGGAAAAAGCCACUGCAAACUUUUCACGCAUUUCACUUAAAGCAGUAGAAAUAUUGCUUGUAAGUUAUUUCAAAGUAAAGGACGUUGUGUGAUUCAAAUGAAAGAGAAUGGUGUGACAAAGUGCUUAGCAGCUGAUUAUUUAAAAAUUACAGAAGAAAUAAGUGCAAUAAAUUAAUGCUCAGAUGUUAGAAUCAGUAUGUAAGCCUGAGCUAUGCACAAUAAAAAUAGUGUGGUGAUAUAUUUUUCUUCCUACAUGAUUGAAAUUUAGCAAUACAGAGUAUUUCCUGAGUUCCUUCAUUCCCCCUGCAUUUACAUCACUUUACUAGAGAUAAUUACUUUCCAAAUUCUGGAAUUUUUAAGAUAUUACAGUGUGUAUUAAGAUAGUCAUGUGAACUUAUAUGCACAAGUAUGAAUUCCGUUUUAACAAGAGAAUAUCACAGAGAAAGCCACACAAAUAGAAAUCAGGAAAGGUGAAAAAUUAGUUAGAUAAACAUUUUCCUUCAUUCAAAUAUUGUGAUGUAACUUUACAAUCUAAACAUAGAUUAUUUUAAUCUUUACUUCUGUUAUUUUUUUUCCUCAAUUUUAAGAAAUCAUUCCUUGAUGUUACCCUAAAACAGGAGAUGUCUGACCUAUAGCUUUGUUUUUUAGAUUUAUUCCUAAGAUUUCAGUUUUUUGAUGUAAGUUGUCCAUUGGCUAUACAAAUCUUUACAACUGGUGAGAAAAUCAUUCACUAUAAAAUCCAUGAAAAAGAAAUAACUUUAUUCAGAACAUGAAGCUAUCCCUCAUUUGUGAUGUCUACAGGGCUAUUGGGAAGAAUACUCAACUCAGAUCUCCUCAGGUCAAUUUCUUUCUUUAAUACUAACCUGGAGCUAUAGACAUGUAUUAUUAGAGAAAUGAAGUAAUGGAAAAUCACAUUGAUGUGAAAGUGUAUUAGAAAUCAUAAGUGAAUAGGCUUGCUUGGGGCGUUUGAAUAAGAAAGCAAUGCACUACUGAAAGCUGGCAACAAUUCAACUCCUUUAAAUCUCAUAGAUUACCUGACUUUUGGUUCAAUUCAUAUUAUCUGACAAAAUAGGUCUCAUUUCCUAUUGCAACUGAGAUUUGUCACCAGAAAAUGAGUUGCAGACAUUACUGUGAAUUUACAGAAUGUAUUAUCCAAAAUCAGAUAAACAGUAGAAUGAGGAAGAUCUGAUUAAUCUGUUGGUAAUUUUAGUUGCCACGUUAAGCUUAAUUUUAAAUGUGUAUGAACUGAUUAGAAAAAUUAAUCAAAGCUAAUAUGCUAUCCUUUAGCAUAUGAAUUAUUUUCAAAAGCAAAUAUAUUUUAGAAAUAGGUCUUAAAGUACUCUAACAACUGAUUAGAAGUUUAAACAUUUUCUGAAAACUUCUGUUUACUGGAUCCAAAAUAACAUGAAAACAUAUAUCAUUUUUGUAGUAUAAUGUACAACCUAUUCUAGUUUUCUUCACCAUAUGAAAAAGAUAUCUGCAUUUCUUGAAAGGCAGGUACAAAAAAUAUGAGAGCAAAUUAUUGUCUGCCACAAUGAUGUCUGAAAAAUUUCAACUUUCUCAUAGAGAAGAAGAUAAAGUUUCUGAACUAUAAAUAAAAAAGGCCAAAUCAAUUUCUUGUCAUGUUAUGAUCCCAAAAAGUUGUUCUAAAGUGACAGUGCAUCAGAUUUAUUGACCAGUGUCUUAUGAUAUUUAAUAAAUAAAUUGCAUCACAUUAUGUAUACUCUUGCACAAAAGCUGAAUGAAAAGCAGUUAGUCAUGUGACAUCAUAACUUUUUAUCCAGUUGUCUUGAGACACUUGGAAAAAAGCAGUGUACAGUAAGUUACAUGGAGAAAACUAAUAUAAUUGAACUUAGAAUCUCAGAAAGUGACAGAUAUUAACUCUCUGGUAAAUUUUCUGAGACUUGUUUAACAAAUUUUGCUAAAUAGGGUAACAUGAAGGCACUCACGGAAGAGUUAAUAAUUAUAUAAAACUACAGCUUUGCAUAACACCCCCUUCUAAAGCAAGUCAAUGCAAAGAUUUUAAUGUUUUACAGUGAUACUUAACAUUAAUAGCUAAUAAAUGAUUUAUUAGCUAAUAUAAAUCAUGCUGUCUUCUAACAGAUUUUGCCGAGCUGGGACAAAUAAGGUGGAUUUUCUGCUCCAGUGAUACCUAUAGUCAAAGACACAAAACUGUUGAAAUAUGUAGUGACACAUUGCUCAACUCAAGCUGGAAAUUUUUAAGGAAUGCAAAACUAAAAUGUGAGACCUGCAAUCCUACUCUGACAGGAUAAGAAAAACAUGAGAAUUGGAUAUGGGAUAUUGUUCAAGGUGCCAUGCAAAAUCAUCCUUCCAUUUCUUUAUUUGGCACUCUCACAUAGAAUACUCACCUUAUUUCAUAGUCAGUCUCUUACACGUGAAGGAUCUAAUACUGAAAUAAUAAAAUCAAUGAGUGUUUUGUCUUCUGCUUCAGUACAGCAGGAUCAAGUUAAAAAUGAUUACAGAAAUCAUGGAGUGAGCUUCUGAAAGCAAUCAGUGUCUGCUCUCAAAAAACAAAACAAUUGCUGGGGAGAAAAGAUGAGUUAGUGUGCAUAGUGGAGUGCAGUUGAAUAUAUACCAGCUGUAAAGAAAAGAGUGUCACAGGCAGAAAUGCAGCAUAUUGGUAUGCCUUUAAUAUUUUGGGGUGUGAAAUGAUCUUAACAUAAUUAUGGAAGCAAAGUCCCUUUAUGAGCUAUGGAAAAUGAAGCUGACAGAAGAGAUUUUAAAAUUCUGAUUGUAGUGUGGGAAUCAAGAACUAGCAGCUGUGACUAAGCUGUGUGAAUAGUUCAUUUUCAGACAAAGUCUAGGCAAUUUCCAGAUGCCUGUUUCUCAUGAAUCAUCUGGCAAUAGUGAAAAAAAAACACUCUCUUCUGUUAGACUUAUAAAGUGAAAUAGCUACUGAAAUUACUUUUGUUUUUAAACAAUGUAACCUUGGGCCUGGAAAAAUUAAAGGGAAGAUAAGAGAUAGGUCACUAUUCAGGUCUAUAUGAUUGCCUCUUACUGUGAAUGAGACAGAGAGUCUGAAAUAUUAUUUUCUGAUGAAAUGUUAUAUUUCUGGAACACAUCUAAAACAAAUCAUUUUUGAAAUCUGUCCACAGAACCAAAACCACUUGCAUUAAUAUUCUUGAAAAUAAUGUAGACUGGAGGGUAGGAUAGUUAUGCCUGUAUAUUGAAUUGGAUUACGUAUACCAUGCUUUAAGAAAAUACAAUGAAAUUAAACCUUCCAAGAAUUACCUCUACAUUUGUGUGUUUUGUGUAAUUUGGAAGACUAGGUGUAUGUACUAAAUGUUUAAGUAAAUUAUUUACUCAUUUUGAAAUGCCAAAAAUUCUGUUCUGGCCUUGGGCAUGUUUAGCUUUAUUAUACUUUUUUUUUUCCCACCCCUGCUUUACUACAGAGAUUUUGUGAAGCCAUGGGAGUAUAAUAACUUUUUCUGCAUUUAUUAUAAUAUGUUAUCUUGUUAAAAAACUAUUGAAGUGCCUGUAAAGCAGGCAUUAUAAUAUCUCACACUAUUCUCAAAGUUAUCGUGUCACUGUUGCAUCAAAUUGCAUUGGACCUGGCUUAUUUUGGAAAUGAGUUGUGUGUUCCGUAAUACUUAUUAUUGUACGUGUUUCUAGAGCUUUUGUUCAAAUGUUAGCCCUGAAUAUAUUAAUCACUUGAUGAUUGUGAAGCUAAUUUCUCGUCUUGAUUGUGUGAUCUAAAUCUAGAGUAGCUUAAUUGUCUACUUUCCACCCAGAAAAUAGCACACCAAUAUUUUUCUUAUAGUGUACAGAGUACUGUAAGACUUGUUUGAUUUGGCAUAAUAGCUCUUGUAUAUUAAUAUCAUUGUGAGUGUUCCCAGACAAAUGAUUCCCUUAUUUAAAUGCAGGGUCAUAGAAAGGGUCUUAAGGGUCCUGAUGGUCCUGUGCAACUUCUAGAAUAUUAAAAAUGUCCUUGAAAUACUGAAAAAGUAUUUUGCUAUACUUUAGAUUUCUGAAUAUGGCAUUGAAAAUGUCUUGGCUUAUAAAGUCAGGUCUCUGUUCCCACAGAGCUAACUUGAAAGGAGUAAGCACUUGUGUUUGAUUCUCAAAUGUGCAUUUACAGUAGUUCAUUUUGUUAUUUUUUCAUUUUAUGCUUAUAUCCUGAUAAGACCAGGAGCAGAAAAUUGUUGUAAACAUUGUAGAGUAAUGUUCAGAUACUAAUGUUCGUUUAGACCUGUGGAAUGGCCUGUGCCCGAGAAAGAGCACAAAAUACUUACGAGAAAUCUGAUUUUGGAAGGAGAAGGAAAAAAGUGCCUUUUAUUUAUUUAGAUUGGUUUUUUUUAAAUUCUCCAGGACUGAAAGGAGCUAAAGACUAUUUCAGUAUCUAAGCUAAUUUAGACAAGUCUAAAAGAACAGGAGAUAGACGUGUAGUACUGGCCAUAAUCUGCUUCUAAAAUUAGUAUCCUAUCAUCUUAGAUUUGUCAGUCGAGUGUUAAUAUGUUUGUAACAUCUGUUUCCCAUCACUAUAAGCAGCAAAAUUAGUAGAAGCCAGAGCUCUUUGAGAGACCGUACAUUGAGAGACAUGUUGCACUGCUGUCUCUUGGUCUUUUGUGCUAAGAAUGUACUGCCUGUUUGUUUUCAGAUUCUGGGAAAUGAUAACAGCAGGGCAUAGGAGCAUGUUCAAUAGGAAAAUGAAAAGAUGAAGGGAAAAGAACAUAAUGAAAAAUCUACUUAAAACAUAGAAAGCCACCUGCCAAGGGGAGCCCCACCAUAUCUCCUCAGAUACUUUCACAUUCUGGUCUCCCUUUAGUAGCUACUGGUUCGGUAUUGUGUUAGCAAGGUGGAUCCUGGACAAUAGGUAUAUGCAUAAAAGGAAGUAUGAGAUUUUUGUGUUUGACCCACCUUUUUUUUCUAUCUAAAUAUUGGUUUCAAUUAUAGACAAAUUAUCAACCUUGCUCUCAAGUUUGAAAUUAGUCAUCAAUUUCAGUCUCUCCUGAAAUAUCAGCCUUCCUCCAGUUUUACCGCCUUGCUAUUGGAAAUGACUCAUAAAUGCUUUCAUAAAUGUCAUUAAAAGGUGGGAGGAGAUGCAAGGUUACUUUGCAUCAUAGGUAAACCGAAACCUGCUACAAUGCGUUAAAAGAUACCUCUUCUGGCAUCUGUGCAGCCUGACACUCCUAUGCAGUCUGAAGCUUCAUACAGCUAAUAUUCCUACAGUGAGGUCUUUAAACAGUUGACUUAAAUUCUGUUCAAUGCCUGGGAUUCUAUUCCUUGUGAUAUUAUUUCUGUAUCAGGUUAUCACUGUUCUUUUUACAUUCUAUAAAUCACAGCUGACCAAAAAGGACAAUGGAAAGACAUUUUGUACAGAGGGUAUGUGGUGUGCAAACUGAGUGCUGAAUAAUUCAAAUUAUAUGUUUAGUCACAGUACAUUUCUGAUUCAGGUGAACAGAGUACAAUGUACUUAUGAGGCUAAACAACUGACAGGCAUUAUAUACAUUAUCUGAGUUGCAGAGUGAGAGGAAAAGUAUAUGAGAUAAAGAGAUGGAAAAAACAGUUGAUAUACACCAAUCCUCAGCAGAGGGACUGACACACUGAUUGUCUCCUCCAAAGGCUAGCUGAAAAGAAUGAAAUGAAAGCAACACCAAGGAACAACUUUGUCUACCCAUGUCCUAUUUGAAGUGAAGACUGCUACAGUUUGCAAUGCUGACUUCUAUAAAGAGUUAAACUGUUGUAACAAUUUAAAAAAAUAUAGUUGCUGGUCAGUGAAUUGCUGUAUCAGUUCAGAAACUGCUUUCACAUAAUGCCUUUGCAGUCUCUAGGUGUACUCCUCCCGUGUUAAUCUAUACCAGGCCUGGGAACAUUGUUACUAAAAAAAUCCAUUAUCUUUGGAGAUUCCUUAUGUCUGCCACCUCUUUUUAAUCCACUGAGCAUGAGGCAUAGCUAACGAUGUGCAUGUUAUUUGUGGUAGAAAAUUAAAGUUUUUUCCCAAGUGUCCUUAUUCCAUUUAUUUCAGGCUUGCUUUGGAAAGCUGCUGACUGUAAGACCAAUUGCUUCUGCACCAAGGCCAUUUACGAUGGUUUGAGGGGCCUCCAGGGCAUCAUGCACAAACUGCUGUAAAUCUUCACUUUAGCAGGAAUCGGAAAGUUUGCAGCACUUGCCUUAUAAAAGAAAUCUCAGAACUGUGUUAACAUUCAAGAUUAGACAUCUAAUUUCAUGAUGUUAAGACAGAAGGUUUUCUUCUUAUGAUGUGUGAUGGAUUUGUGUGGAGCUGCUUUUUGCUUGCUGAUGGGGGGAGGAGGGGUGCUGCAGUGCUGCCCCUGUAAAGACUCCUCAAAACUCCUGUCAUCUCUGGGUUGAACUCACCUCUGUCCCUGCUGGGACAAUCUGGCACCUCUGCCAUCACUAUCUAAGACGGGAAAUUGAUAGUGUGUAGAAGGAGGUGGAAGGAGUGGAACAAGAUGGAGGUAACCGUGCAAACUCCACAGUUAGAGGAGGAAAGGAGGAGGAGUGUCAGACUGGAGACUCCUCUGCAGCCUGCAGUGAGAGAGCAGCUUUCUCCCCUUGACUCACAGAGGGCAAUGGCAGGACUAACUGGAACCCACCCACAGCUCUGAGAGGACCUCGCAGUGGAGGGAUGACUGUACCUGGAGGAGCUAGAGACUCUGUGGGAAGAUGGCUAUGGAGUGAGUUGAAUUGGGCUGAUGGCAGAAACCCACACAGGAGUUCUUGGGAUGAACACAUAUAGGCGUGGCCCAUGCAGACACCUUGCACUGGAGCAGGGAGGACUGAUGAGGAGCCCACCUGCCCUGAGGUGAGACAAGCAGCUGGAGCCAUUGCAAAAAGGCUGACAGAAACCGCCAUUGCCUGCCCCCCUGCGCUGCUUAGAAAGGAGGAGGUAAAGACACUGGGAUCAGGGUCCUGAGCCUAGGAAGAGGAGAGAGGUGGAGGGAAGUUAAUCUUAAAUGGGUGGUUGUACUCUUCAUCAUUGUACCACUCUGUGUUUUCUGUUUGUUAUUAUAUUGGUUGGUGGCAGAUUAAAUAAAUUCUGUUUUCUUCCUCAA